GUUUGUUUACAUCUUUAGUCUACAUGUUUCAAAUGUUUUAAUUCCAUUAAGUUGUUAACUCAUUUACUCAAAUCCUAAUAUAAACGGUUUAAUUUUUUAUUAGUUAUCGGAUUAAAUUUUCUGAAAUGUCAAAUUUUCCACCUACUCCAACUAAUCCGAAUGUUCAAAACAGAUUUGGUCAAUAUCCAAAUCAAACUUAUCCAGUAAGUUUAUUCCCUCAUUAAUAACUUUUACAGUUUAUUUUUUACAUUCUGUUAUAGAUGCAGCAAAGACCUGGUAUGUACCAGCAAGGAGGUCCUAUGCCUCAAGGUGGACCGCCUAAUGCUAUGAUGGGUGCACGUGGAUCUCCAUCUCAAGGUUUUAGUCCUAUGCGGCAUGGUGCUGGUCCGAUGGUACCGACCCAAACCACACCUGGCAAACGACCUGCUGAUAAUCGUAAUCCACCACCUAUGGUUAAAGGGUAUUUAUUUUAAAUAAUAACAUAAUUUAACUUAAACGUAAAAUUAAACGUAAAAAAAAUCUGGCUCGCCAAUUAGAAACCAAAUAAUGUGGCCUAGUAUUGGGCAACUAAAAAUAUCUAUUUAACAUAUACUAACACUACCAUAUUUUAUUUUAUUUUUUUUGUUAGGUAUACUUGUAUUUCUAGUUAUAAUUGUAUAGUUACCAGUAUUUGAUGCCUUGCGCAAAAAAAAAAUAAAUAAAAAUAUUAAUAUUCAAUUGCUGGAGGAUAAUUUGUAUAUGCUUUAUAGUUAAAAGAGAUAGUAUUAGUUAAAUAUUAUUUUUAUAAUAAUUUCAGGAAAGACAUUAAAUAUUUAAACUUUAAGUUUAUAUUAGUUUAUCUGACUAACCAUUCAAAAUAUUUUAAAUAUGUAUAUAAAACAAUGAGAUGUUGUGUUUUUUUUUAAAUUUAUGAUCUAAAACUAAAAUAUACCUACAUAAUGAAAAUCAUAUUUAUUAAUAUGAAUUUAUAGUUGACUUGACUUGUGAUUUCUUAAACAGGUUGCUGAAAUCUUAUUUAAACGCUACCCAUUAAUACUGCUCAAUACUUAAUUAUUGUAUUGAUGCUUUGCAGCUAACAUUUAUAAAUGUAAUAAAUAUAAAAAAAAAUUAAUUAAUAUAUUCCUUGCAGCUAUAGUAGUUCUGUAAUAUCAAAUAUUUUACAAUUAUUUUUACAGUGAUUUUCCACACAAUAUACAAUCUCAAAAUAGCAAUAUUAAUAUGAGCAAAAAGAAGAAAAAAUUGGCAGAUAAAAUAUUGCCUCAAAAAGUAAGAGAUCUUGUCCCGGAAUCACAGGCAUACAUGGAUCUCUUAGCUUUUGAAAGAAAACUAGAUUCAACUAUUAUGAGAAAACGAUUAGAUAUACAAGUAAUAUUUUCCAAAAAUACCUAUGCAUAUAUAAAUUAAUUUUGAUAUGUUUAUUAUUAUAGGAAGCGUUAAAACGCCCUAUGAAACAAAAACGCAAAUUACGGAUUUUUAUAUCAAAUACUUUUUAUCCUGCUAAAGAACCUGGAGAAAAUGAAGAAGGAAGUGUUGCUUCUUGGGAAUUAAGAGUUGAAGGGCGUUUAUUAGAAGAUUCCAAAAAUGAGCCUAAUAAGGUACUUAACUAAUUUUUUUUACUAAUUUUUUUUUGAAAUUUUCUUAAUUUUAUUUUCAGAUAAAAAGAAAAUUUUCUUCUUUCUUUAAGUCACUGGUAAUUGAACUUGACAAAGACCUAUAUGGACCUGAUAAUCAUUUAGUGGAAUGGCAUCGUACUGCAACUACUCAGGAAACUGAUGGAUUUCAGGUAUUUAUCUAAUAUUUGUCUAUUUAAUUUAUCUUGUUUAAUUUAUUAUUUCUUUUUAAGGUAAAACGACCUGGAGACAAAAAUGUACGCUGUACUAUUUUAUUGCUUCUUGAUUACCAACCAUUGCAAUUUAAAUUGGAUCAACGUUUAGCUAGACUUUUGGGAGUUCAUACUCAAACUAGACCAGUCAUUAUAAGUGCUUUAUGGCAAUUUAUAAAAACUCAUAAGCUCCAAGUAAAAUAUUUCAUAUAUACUAAUAUAUACAGGAUGAUUCAUUAAGCGUGUUUACCUCAUUUUUUGGGUUAAAUUUUUCAUAUAUUUAAAUUCUGAUUUUUAGAAUUUUUAAGUGUAGUUAAUAUCAAUAUUUUUGAAUACUUAGAUUUUUCACAACAUUUUAAGAGUAUCCUGUACCAAUACAGGAUACUAUAAUUUGGAGAGGGAGAUAAUAAAACACUGCACGGUGCCACCACACAAAUGAUAAUCCACUACUCUCCUCUACCUAAACUUAAUAGUGAAAAAUCUCGUUAACGAGUUGACGGAAAUCAAAAAUUUUAACACCAAAAUUUAUUUGAAGUAAUACUCCACCUAUUUAUAGAAUUUUUAAUAACGUUUUUCAUUUGGAAAAUCAAAGUUGAUAUUGCUACAAGAUACUCCUAAAAUGCCGUGAAAAAUAUAAAUAUAAAAUAUCAACAUUAACUACACUUAAAAUUUACAGAAACCAGAAUUUAAACGUAUGCAAUAUUUAACCAAAAAAAUGGGGUAAACACUCUUAGUGAACCAUCCUGUAUAUACACAUGUAUGUGAAUAUUUUCAAAUAUAAUUUUGUUUUUAGGAUUCACACGAGAAAGAGUAUAUUAACUGUGACAAGUAUUUAGAACAAAUAUUUAAUUGUUCUCGUAUGAAAUUUGCGGAAGUUCCACAAAGACUGAAUACUUUACUUCAUCCUCCAGAUCCUAUUGUUAUUAAUCAUAUUAUAAGGUAUCAUUUGAUAUUUUUUAUAUUUGUUGAUUUUUAAUUUUUAAUAAAUAAAUAAUUUAAUUUUGAAGUGUUGAGGGUGUUGAGCAAAAACAAACUGCAUGCUAUGAUAUUGAUGUUGAAGUUGAUGAUACUUUGAAAGCACAAAUGAAUAAUUUCUUGUUGUCUACUGCCAGUCAGCAAGAAAUACAGGUAAUCAAUACAAUAUUCUCUUCUUGUACAUAAUAUAUUAUAUGAUUGUUUUGAUUUAUUAUUUAGAGUCUGGAUAAUAAAAUUCACGAAACAGUUGAAACAAUUAACCAAUUAAAGACAAAUAGAGAAUUCUUUUUGAGUUUUGCUAAAGAUCCUCAGCAAUUUAUAUAUAAAUGGAUAAUUUCACAAACCAGAGAUUUAAAGGUAUUUAUACAAAUUAAUUUACACUGUGGCAGGUGUUCAGAUCUUCUUAAUUUCAAUGCACACUUAAUUACUUAGUUUAGUUAAUAUCCAUAGCACCCAUAUGCAUACUAAUUAAUACAUAUUUGAAUUGGUACACAUAUGGACUUAAUUUUCUUAUUGAAAUAAAUAGUUCAAAAUUUUUGUUUAAAAAUAAUUAUAACUUAUCACUAUUUUUAUUACUAUAAAAUAAAACUAAACAGCUUAAGUUAAUUUUUGUUUUAGACAAUGACGGAUGUAGUUGGUAAUCCAGAAGAAGAAAGGAGAGCAGAAUUUUACUACCAACCAUGGACUCAGGAAGCUGUUAAUCGUUAUUUUUAUUCAAAAGUUCAACAAAAACGAGCAGAACUUGAACAUCAAUUGGGUAUCCGUAACUCAUAAAAAAAAAAAAACUUAUGUAAUAAUAUUUUUAACUAGAUUAGACAUUUUUGUAUAAUGGAAUUCUAAUUAUAUUAUUAUUUUUAAUGAAUUAUAAUUUAUACUUUAUAAUCACAGUUAGUUUAUCAAUUUUUUAAUAACAUUUAAAUUUCAUAAUAUUUGUUAGUCCAUUUAACUGUUAGUAGGGAUUUUUUUUGUACUUUGGUGUUGACAAAUAUUUAAUAAGAUAAGUA
rnacentral:lncRNA from 1 species